GGCGAGGCCGAAAGGCGUAGUCGAUGGGAAACAGGUUAAUAUUCCUGUACUUGGUGUUACUGCGAAGGGGGGACGGAGAAGGCUAUGUUGGCCGGGCGACGGUUGUCCCGGUUUAAGCGUGUAGGCUGGUUUUCCAGGCAAAUCCGGAAAAUCAAGGCUGAGGCGUGAUGACGAGGCACUACGGUGCUGAAGCAACAAAUGCCCUGCUUCCAGGAAAAGCCUCUAAGCAUCAGGUAACAUCAAAUCGUACCCCAAACCGACACAGGUGGUCAGGUAGAGAAUACCAAGGCGCUUGAGAGAACUCGGGUGAAGGAACUAGGCAAAAUGGUGCCGUAACUUCGGGAGAAGGCACGC
rnacentral:rRNA from 1 species